UGCCCAUAAUAUGUUGAAACAUCAGUUCUCAUAUGAACAUUGAAGUUAAGCAGCAUUGAGCCUGGUCAGUACCUAGAUGAGUAACUGCUUGGGAAUACCAGGUGCU